rnacentral:rRNA from 1 species
CCUACGGGAGGCAGCAGUGAGGAAUAUUGGUCAAUGGGCGGAAGCCUGAACCAGCCAAGUCGCGUGAGGGAUUAAGGCCCUGCGGGUCGUAAACCUCUUUUGCCGGGGAGCAGAGGUCCGGACGUGUCCGGGCCGGGAGAGUACCAGGAGAAAAAGCCUCGGCUAACUCCGUGCCAGGAGCCGCGGUAAUACGGAGGAUGCGAGCGGUAUCCGGAUUUAUUGGGUUUAAAGGGUGCGUAGGCGGGCAUUUAAGCCGGCGGUCAAAUGUCGGGGCUCAACCCCGGCCUGCCGUCGGAACUGGGUGCCUUGAGUGGGCGAGAAGUAUGCGGAAUGCGUGGUGUAGCGGUGACAUGCAUAGAUAUCACGCAGAACCCCGAUUGCGAAGGCAGCAUACCGGCGCCCUACUGACGCUGAGGCACGAAAGUGCGGGUAUCGAACAGGAUUAGAUACCCGUGUAGUC